rnacentral:lncRNA from 12 species
AUGUGUCCAGACAUUUACACUUGGAAUCUGCGCAGGAGUAUUUCUGCCACUCACCAGCUCUUUGGCAGGUGCUUAGGAUCCUUGGGCCUUAAAGCUGCUAUUGUCAUUUGUGGCUUUUCCUACACUCUGAGAAAGCAUGUACUUGUCACACCUCUUCGUAUUGAAAACCAGCAUCUCCCAUUCCACUAUCAUAAAGGUGCAGCUGUAUGGAGUCUGAUGAAAUAUUUAUUGGUAUGUUUUAGUUAUAAGGGAGUCCAACUCAAAUUUCAACAGUAAAAAGGAUGCCCUCGCUCACAUGAAAACUUGGGAUACAGUUGGACAAGGAUCUAACAACAUGAUCAACGUUCAGUUUCUCUAUCUCCAUUUUUUGACUGCUGUCUCAUUAUUGACAUAUGUCUCAGGCAGGUUUUACCCUGUAAUCCACAAAUAGCUGUCACUCAUCCCAGAGACUAUAUGCACUCUCAUUUAUAUGCAAUGAGAAAUAGAAACAACUCAGACGUAGGUCCCAGAAUUGAGUAUCAUUGACCUGAUUAGGUUGAAUUACAUCAUAUCCCCAUUUUGGCUGGGGAAUUGAGAUAUAUUUAUUAGUAAAGUCAAUUUAGAGUCCUCUCCCAUAACCAUACGUGGGGGAUUUUUUUCAUCCAAACAUCAGAGCUGGGAGAUUUAAGUUUCUAAUAGGAAGAUGAAAGUGGGCAGGGUAUUGUAAGAAAGCUAACAAAUGACCAUCAAGCCAGAAUUCACCUACCAUGCAAGCCCCAACUUAAGAGCUCUUCCUUUAGGAUGCUGCAUAUUUUCCAGCUAUAUGCUGCCCUUUCUUUUUUUUAUUUAUUUAUUUUUUUAAAAUUUUUUAUUGGUGUUCAAUUUACUAACAUACAGAAUAACCCCCAGUGCCCGUCACCCAUUCACUCCCACCCC